AUGCUGCUCCUCCGCUAUGAUGUCACCUUCCUCAUCGAACACCCUCCUCCCCCUAACGCCACUACUCAAUAUCUCGAACUCGAUGCCCAUGUCGUCCUUUGGAUCUAGGCCACCCUUUCCGGCAGCAUGGUGGACCAUGUCAUCAGGGCCACUUCCACCUAUGCCCUUUGGAAGAAGAUCAAAGACUACUUCCUCGCCAAUCGCGCCGCUCGCUUCAUGAUCCUCAACCGGCAGUACCGGAAUCACAAGCAGGGUGACCUCUCGGUCGCCGAGUAUGCGCGGUGCAUGAAACUUCUCACCGAUGCCCUCGCUGAUAUCGAGCACGCCGUCACCGAGGUAGAUCUCACCACCCAGUUCCUCCAUGGCCUCGAUAAGCGCAUCGAGAUGAUCCGCGUCGUCCUCGGCGACCAGGAGCUCCCCUUCGAUAGCGUCCUCUCCCGCGUCCUCCUCGCCGAGAAAUCCCAGGCUCACCGCGCCACUGAGGAGAGCGCCUCAGCGUUCGUUCUCUCCGGCGGUGACCGCGGCCAGAGCAGCGGCUCCGGCUCGGGCGCGCGCAGCCCGGGCGAUCGCGGCGACCGCAUCGGUGAGCACUUCCCGACCGCUCCCAGGGUGGUCCUCCCCAGCAGCAGCCGCCCCAACCUGGUCGUAGCCACGGUGAUGGCGGUGACCGUGGACGUGGCGACAACGGUGGUUGGGGCGAGUCUUCUCAGAUCCAGCUGCCCUUCCCCCUUCACCGGCUACUUCGCGCCUUAUGGCAUGGCGCUUCCCUCUCCACGAUCGGGUUGGGUGCCCCCGAACGCCGCUAGCGUCCUCGGUCCGCGCCCCGGCUCGCACGCUCAGGCCUACCCGGUGUACCAGGCUGCUCCUACUCCACCAGCGGCUUACCAGCAUCAGCCGCCAUCGUGGGAACAUCUUGCCAUGCUCAACGUCGUCUACAGCAACAACGGUUUCCCCUCCAACCCCGCCCCGGAGUGGUACAUCGACAGCGGCGCGUCCUCCCACGUAACAGGCAACCAAGGUAACUUGACCAAAUCUAGUUCUUCGUUACAGCAUGUACCAUCUCGCAUAGUCGUUGGCAAUGGUCACCACUUACCUGUCACAGCCACUAGUUCCACCACCCUCUCCCCCUGUAUCUUGUAUAGCUCCAUGCAUACUGUAGCUCCAUGUAUAUAG
rnacentral:rRNA from 1 species